rnacentral:misc_RNA from 1 species
AACCGCCGUAUACCGAACGGUACGUACGGUGGUGUGAGAGGACGGGGGCUAGUCACCCCCUCCUACUCGAU